AAUGAACGCUGGCGGCAGGCCUAACACAUGCAAGUCGAACGGAUCCUUCGGGAUUAGUGGCGGACGGGUGAGUAACGCGUGGGAACAUACCCUUUGGUACGGAAUAGCCUCGGGAAACUGGGAGUAAUACCGUAUGUGGUCGAGAGACGAAAGAUUUAUCGCCAAAGGAUUGGCCCGCGUUGGAUUAGGUAGUUGGUGGGGUAAAGGCUCACCAAGCCAACGAUCUGUAGCUGGUCUGAGAGGACGACCAGCCACACUGGAACUGAGACACGGUCCAGACUCCUACGGGAGGCAGCAGUGGGGAAUUUUCCGCAAUGGGCGAAAGCCUGACGGAGCAAUACCGCGUGAGGGAAGAAUGCCUAUGGGUUGUAAACCUCUUUUUCAGGGAGGAAUAAAAUGACGUGUACCUGAAGAAUAAGCAUCGGCUAACUCCGUG
rnacentral:rRNA from 1 species